rnacentral:rRNA from 4 species
GUGGUGGCACAAAAUCGGAAGCCCCGACUGUUUACUAAAAACACAGCUAUCUGCAACGAUGUAAAUCAUAGUAUAGGUAGUGAGGUUUGCCCGAUGCCAUUAAUAUAAGAGAAGUGAUGGGUAACUGUUAAUUAUCGAAAAUCUGGUUAAUAGCGGUCUUAACUAUGAGGAUCCUAAGGUAGCAAAAUAAAUUGGCCAUUAAAUGUGGUCCGGUAUCAAUAAUUUAACGAUGGCUUCACUGUCUCUACAACUUGCUCAGUGAAAUUGAAUUACCCGUGCAGAUGCGGGUUGCCACCAGGGGGACGGGAAGACCCUAUGCAGCUUCUACUG